UACGGAGGGGGCUAGCGUUGUUCGGAAUUACUGGGCGUAAAGCGCACGUAGGCGGCUUUGUAAGUUAGGGGUGAAAGCCCAGGGCUUAACCCUGGAAUUGCCUUUAAGACUGCAUCGCUCGAAUUGUGGAGAGGUGAGUGGAAUUCCGAGUGUAGAGGUGAAAUUCGUAGAUAUUCGGAAGAACACCAGUGGCGAAGGCGACUCACUGGACACAUAUUGACGCUGAGGUGCGAAAGCGUGGGGAGCAAACAGG
rnacentral:rRNA from 1 species